AUUGAACGCUGGCGGCAGGCCUAACACAUGCAAGUCGAACGGUAACAGGAAACAGCUUGCUGUUUCGCUGACGAGUGGCGGACGGGUGAGUAAUGUCUGGGAAACUGCCUGAUGGAGGGGGAUAACUACUGGAAACGGUAGCUAAUACCGCAUAACGUCGCAAGACCAAAGAGGGGGACCCUCGGGCCUCUUGCCAUCGGAUGUGCCCAGAUGGGAUUAGCUUGUUGGUGGGGUAACGGCUCACCAACGCGACGAUCCCUAGCUGGUCUGAGAGGAUGACCAGCCACACUGGAACUGAGACACGGUCCAGACUCCUACGGGAGGCAGCAGUGGGGAAUAUUGCACAAUGGGCGCAAGCCUGAUGCAGCCAUGCCGCGUGUAUGAAGAAGGCCUUCGGGU
rnacentral:rRNA from 1 species